AUUGAACGCUGGCGGUAUGCUUAAUACAUGCAAGUCGAACGGUAACAGGUCCUUCGGGAUGCUGACGAGUGGCGGACGGGUGAGUAAUGCAUGAGAAUCUGCCUAGUAGUGGGGGACAACUUAGGGAAACUUAAGCUAAUACCGCAUACGCCCUACGGGGGAAAGCGGGGGAUCGUAAGACCUCGCGCUAUUAGAUGAGCUCAUGUCCGAUUAGCUUGUUGGUAGGGUAAAAGCCUACCAAGGUGACGAUCGGUAGCUGGUCUGAGAGGACGAUCAGCCACACUGGGACUGAGACACGGCCCAGACUCCUACGGGAGGCAGCAGUAGGGAAUAUUGGACAAUGGGCGAAAGCCUGAUCCAGCAAUACCGCGUGUGUGAAGAAGGCCUGCGGGUUGUAAAGCACUUUCAGUUGGGAGGAAAAGCUUAAUGCUAAUAUCAUUAGGUCU
rnacentral:rRNA from 1 species